rnacentral:lncRNA from 1 species
UUUGAUGUUGCAACGCGUCACAUAAACCUCGGGCGCUGCAAACUCAACUGGGGAGCCUGGGAAGGGUGACCCGUGUCUUUGGUAUCGCUGGUCAGUCGUGUUGGCCUUAAACUGCCCGUUUCCCGGAGUUUUCAUCGCACUUUCGCGUUUUUCGGCUGCAGGCUGCCUUCGUCAAGCCUUUUCCUUUUCUGCAGAACAGUCUAUUUCCAGCUUGACUGCCUCACAACGUGUUUCACCCGAGGCCUGCGCAGAAGGUGUGCAACAGAAAUUCAAACAGAACCUCAACUCUCCGUGGUUCUCUGUACUGCACAUCUGCGACGCUCAAAAACAUAUCCUUUCUUUGAGAAGAACAGCGCACAAGCAGUGAACACAUGAGGAUUUUGGCAGUGAUGGUAGAGAUGAAAUAAGCAUGUGGUCCUUUCUCAAAAAAAGGGUUAAAUAUAUUUAAAUACAAACUGAUAAUCCUGGUGUGAUGAAGCCCACAGACUUAUUCCACAUGGAUAGAAUGACUUGCACUGUUUUUGCUAUCGAUAUCCUUCCUCUAAUAAUGUCAAACUACUAUAUCACACCAUGAGCCCUCUAAUGUAUUGUGUUUGUGUCUGACUUUCUAAGGUGUUCG